GGUGAACGCUGGCGGCGUGCUUAAGACAUGCAAGUCGAACGGCAGUCUUCGGACUGUAGUGGCGCACGGGUGAGUAACGCGUAACUGACCUACCCCAAAGUCGCGGAUAACGAUUCGAAAGAAUCGCUAAUACGUGAUGUGCUGUCAGAUUGUGUUCUGCCAGUAAAGAUUGAUUGCUUUGGGAUGGGGUUGCGUUCCAUCAGCUAGUUGGUGGGGUAAAGGCCCACCAAGGCGACGACGGAUAGCCGGCCCGAGAGGGUGGCCGGCCACAGGGGCACUGAGACACGGGUCCCACUCCUACGGGAGGCAGCAGUUAGGAAUCUUCCACAAUGGGCGAAAGCCUGAUGGAGCGACGCCGCGUGAGGGAUGAAGGUCUUCGGAUCGUAAACCUCUGAAUCAGGGACGAAAGACACUUCGGUGGGAUGACGGUACCUGAGUAAUAGCACCGGUUAACUCCGUGCCAGCCGCCGCAGUAAUAC
rnacentral:rRNA from 1 species